AAGCCAAAGUGCCUUCUCUUUUGG
rnacentral:siRNA from 1 species